rnacentral:ncRNA from 1 species
CCCUGACAGGCGCAUACCGUGCCUGACACUAGCCAAGACAGGAGACAUAUAUG